rnacentral:rRNA from 1 species
CCUACGGGAGGCAGCAGUGGGGAAUAUUGGGCAAUGGGCGCAAGCCUGACCCAGCAACGCCGCGUGAAGGAAGAAGGCUUUCGGGUUGUAAACUUCUUUUCUCAGGGACGAAGCAAGUGACGGUACCUGAGGAAUAAGCCACGGCUAACUACGUGCCAGCAGCCGCGGUAAUACGUAGGUGGCAAGCGUUAUCCGGGUUUACUGGGUGUAAAGGGCGUGUAGGGGGGAAAGCAAGUCAGAUGUGAAAACCAUGGGCUCAACCUGUGGCCUGCAUUUGAAACUGUUUUUCUUGAGUACUGGAGAGGCAGACGGAAUUCCUAGUGUAGCGGUGAAAUGCGUAGAGAUUAGGAGGAACACCAGUGGCGAAGGCGGUCUGCUGGACAGCAACUGACGCUGAGGCGCGAAAGCGUGGGGAGCAAACAGGAUUAGAUACCCUGGUAGUC